rnacentral:rRNA from 1 species
AGUGGCGGACGGGUGAGUAACGCGUGAGAAUCUGCCUUGGGGUCGGGGACAACCACUGGAAACGGUGGCUAAUACCGGAUAAGCCGAUUGGUGAAAGAUUUAUUGCCCGAAGAGGAGCUCGCGUCUGAUUAGCUAGUUGGUGAGGUAAGAGCUCACCAAGGCAGCGAUCAGUAGCUGGUCUGAGAGGACGAUCAGCCACACUGGGACUGAGACACGGCCCAGACUCCUACGGGAGGCAGCAGUGGGGAAUUUUCCGCAAUGGGCGAAAGCCUGACGGAGCAAGACCGCGUGAGGGAGGAAGGCUCUUGGGUUGUAAACCUCUUUUCUCAGGGAAGAAGCUCUGACGGUACCUGAGGAAUCAGCCUCGGCUAACUCCGUGCCAGCAGCCGCGGUAAUACGGAGGAGGCAAGCGUUAUCCGGAAUUAUUGGGCGUAAAGCGUCCGCAGGUGGCAAUUCAAGUCUGCUGUCAAAGCACGGGGCUUAACUCCGUAAAGGCAGUGGAAACUGAAUAGCUAGAGUGCCGUAGGGGUAGAGGGAAUUCCCGGUGUAGCGGUGAAAUGCGUAGAGAUCGGGAAGAACAUCGGUGGCGAAAGCGCUCUACUGGACGGCAACUGACACUCAGGGACGAAAGCUAGGGGAGCGAAUGGGAUUAGAUACCCC